AGACAGUCAACCUUCAAAGCAAUCUGCAGUUGCAUGCAUGAGCUCAGGAAAUGACUAUGAACUAAUCACAGAUGGGGCACUGCAGCAGGGAGCUGACCCUGGGUGUGCCUGACGUGACCAAGUGAGCCCUCUAAAAGAAGGCACAGCAUCAGAGAGGCACCAUCCUGCUGGUCUCCAAGAAGAUAGAAGUCACCAUUAGUUCAACACCUGCAACAAACUGAACUCUGCCAGCAACUUGAAUGGACUUGGAGCUCUAAGCCUUAGAGGGGACCACAGCCUCUCCAAAUUUUUCAAUGCAGCUGGAGAGACUUGAGCAGAAAGUUUUCAGCUA